UAUAUAAAAAUUAAGAUUUUGAAGCUAUUACUAGGAUCUUAGAGUAUAAAAUAUAUACCAAAUUAUAUUCUUAAAGUAUGAAAAAAUUCAAAAGAUAUAUUUGGCAUGAAUAUAAAAUAAUAUAUCUUUUAACAAAUAUAAAAGUCAAGGGAUGGAAGUUGUUUAUUAGAAUAGCAACCUCUACCUAUAAGCAAAUAAUAUUAGAAGUUUUAUCUUGUUCCACACUUUUUUGUGUAUACA
rnacentral:lncRNA from 1 species